AACAGGAAGAGAGAAGAGUUUGAACAAGGAGAUGCUGAAAUGAAGGCCAUUACAUUUGUUUGAGAGUCAAAGGAAUUUCCAUGUCACCUGAACCUGCGGUAACAGAAGUAGAUAUAUCUGCUGUGCUGUUGAAGCACCUUGAUGCACUUGGACUGCCUGUUCUUAUCCUGUUUCUUUAUAGAGAGGCAGUGGAGCUGUUUCUCUUCAAUUCGUGCAUCACCUGGUACUACAAUAUCAAUGAACCAGACUAUUUUCUUUUCCACAAUAGCGAUAUCAGGCAUGUUGUGAUCCAGAUGUCUGUCUGUUUGGCUCUGAAAGUCCCACAGGACCUUGCUCAUUUUCAAGAACUUUCUCAGUUUGGUGU